UGGGUCAGCAGAGCUUUCAAAGAACCUGUGGGAUCCAGGGCUAUGAACCACUCCAAACUUCAGACUCCACCACCCUGAUCAGUCAGCACCCAACAGCAAAGAGGCAAGAUCCAACACCAGCAAAAAGAUUAAGAUUUGCUGAAUGUUCAGAAUACGAUCCUGAUCAGAGCUCCAGGCUCCAAGAAGAGACAAGCAGCAGCAGAGUUAAAAAUGUCCUGUCUUUCCACACCACAUCUUCCUACACUGAUGGGGCAGCUUACAUGAUGAGUCUGUCUUCCCUGAGGACUCACAGGACUUAA
rnacentral:lncRNA from 1 species